rnacentral:ncRNA from 2 species
UUGAAACCGACAAGUGAAGGUGUCCGAACGGACUUAAUAGGGAAUCUGGUGCGAAUCCAGAGCUGUCCCCGCAACUGUGUGCGCAGACGAAAUGGAAACAACACCACUGUAUAUGUCAGCUUUUCAGGCGCAUAUAUGGGAAGGAAUCCAAAGUAGGAAGAAGCGCGAGUCAGGAGACCUGCCUUCCUUGUAUCGUUUCA